rnacentral:rRNA from 1 species
UACGUAGGGUGCGAGCGUUGUCCGGAAUUAUUGGGCGUAAAGAGCUCGUAGGCGGUGUGUCGCGUCGGUCGUGAAAACUUGGGGCUUAACUCUGAGCUUGCGGUCGAUACGGGCAUCACUUGAGUUCGGCAGGGGAGACUGGAAUUCCUGGUGUAGCGGUGAAAUGCGCAGAUAUCAGGAGGGAACACCGGUGGCGAAAGGCGGGGUCUCUGGGGCCGAAAACUGAC